rnacentral:lncRNA from 1 species
CUCUCCUCACUCCUAAACUGGGGCUCUGGGGAGCAGUAUACCGUUGAAUCACUUUCCCCAUUCUGCCAACGUCUGUCUUCUGAUUGGAGCGUUUAAAUCGUUAUUGUUGGAGGCCUCGCGCUCACGGGGUUACCUGUCCUUACAGGCUUCGUUCCGAAGACUUAACCCCUGAAAGCACUAACGUGUCUCCGACCGAUGCCGGAGCCUGUCACUUACAGUCCUUGCCGCUUUCCCCGCAGCUGUCUACAGUAUUUGAAUUACUGUCUUCUUCUUCGCAUUUCUGGUUACUAGUCAACAACUGUUUAAUUUCUAUCCAAGGAUGAUUAAAUCGACGUACACUGAAACAAGAAAUGUGCACUCACAAUACUAAAGGAUGACCUGGUCCGUGAUACUUUGGUCGCUUCCUCUGCUUAUUGGUUCGACAAGCCUCCUAGGUCUGGUACGCUGCUCGCUCACACCUACUACUCAACCCUCGACGAUUUAGGUGUGGUUGUUCCUCUCUGGGCAGGAGCAGUAAUUGCCCGUUUUUGCCAUAAAUCUAAAGCGUGUGGAUGGUGGGAGAGAGAAACUGCCUUUUCCUCUGUGGGGCCAACCAUCUGGAGACAUUGGGACGAGACUUGUCUGCACAAAGAGAGAAUGACAUCAAACUACACCAAACAUUUGGAAAUUUCGGGGCGAGAGACUUGAGGACGUGAUUCGAAUCCUGAGGUCGCCUCCCCCUGAUGCGGGGCAGGUGCUGGGAACACAGCAUGCAACCGGCAAGAGGCCAUCUCUGCCCUCAGGAGGUCUUGGAGGAGCCUGGUGGGAGACACAGCUACAUAACCAGGAGACGGCAACUCCGGGUGAUGAGGACUUCAGGGGAAGCUGGAAGUUGGAGAGGCAGCUACCUCAUCAGGGGUGUGGGAGGCAGGGUGAGCUUCCUGGAGGAGGUGACUUGUGAUCUGCAACCUGUUGACUGAGGCAGAUAACCCGCUGUGAGCCCUACCCAAGGACCUGGGCGGCAUUUCAGGGCUCCUCCUGCAACUUGUCCACGACGAAUUCACCUGCUUCAAAGGCGAGGAUCACCGUGUGAGGAGGGUGCUCAUCUGGUCAUCAUCACUGCCAAGCAGAGCAGUGCUCAACUAGGAACCCUACUGGGCUCUUUUCCCUCACUGAAUCUUCAGAGAAAUCCUGGAAGCACCUGCCAUAGCCAUCUCCAUUUUACCAACGAGGAGCCUGAGGAUCAAAUUCCCGAGUUCAGCGGAAGAUGUUGUGUCCUGGACCAGCCUUUGGAAACAGUACCCAAAGGGCAUCUAUCAGUGGAGAGGUGGCUCAGCCCCACCUUCAUCAGCUGGCCUCAUGCUGAAUCUUAUUGCCAGGAUUGUGUCUACAUGAGGAAGGCUGGCUCCCGGUCCUCUGAUGCGUGCUGUGUAUAUCGGUGCUGUAGUUGGAUCUGCGAGAAGCCACGGGUCUGCUGAGCCUGCUCCCUUUCCUCUGUCUCCAGGCUCAGGAGAGAUUGUCUUGAUGUGUGACCCCAUAACAAUGCCCUGACUUCUCUGCAGAAAGGACGUCUCCUGCAGGCCCCAGUCCUCGUGGGAGCAUCUUCCUCCUCUCUUGCCUCUGCUUCUCAGUUCUGCAGAGGAACAUGUAAAGUGACACCACGAUGAAACAAUGUGCAAAAUAUAUCAUAUAGGACUUUCUAAGACCAGUAAUUCAGUUUUUUCAAAAGAAGAAGAAAUGACAUGAAUAAUGGAGAAUGUAGGAUUGUUGGGAAAU